GCUUUGUUUUACUACUUUUCCCUUUCCUUUGUUUUUUGUGCUUUUCUUCUUCCUUGUCUUUUUGUUUCUUUCCAUCUUCCUUGCUUGUUCACACACCCAGAGGCCAACUAGUUUUAAGUUUUGUUUAUUGUUGCCAACAAUACCACCAAAGCUUUCUCAACGAAGUGGCUGAGGCCACUUUCCCUUUUUUUUUUUUACUCUUCUCCCCUUUUCUCUUUCGACAGGAGUCUUCAUUCUUCUUUGUCAUUUGCUUUUCGUCACUUUUCUUUUUCAGCUUCUGGGAUUUCUUCAACUUUUUGGCUUAUGUUACUUUUGAAUUCUUCAGCAACAGCAACACAGGAGGCUUCUUGACUGAAAUCUUUAGGGAAGGGCUAUCAUACCGCCAGUAACAGAGUGAGAACCCUUUAUGGUUUUGUUUGCAAUUUGCUGCAGAGGAGUGCUGGCUUAGUAAUUUUCGUGUCUGGCUUGGGAUUUUUCUUUGUUGGCAAACUUUGAAGCACAGAACGUGGGUGUGAAUCAUCAGCUUUUCACGCUUUGCCAUCUUUUUGUCUUCCAAUUUGCAGACUUGGAAUUUCGUUGUGCUGAAGGUGGGUUGGGCACAAAGCAGUUGGGAUUUUGAUGUUUUCUGUUUUUGGUACUCAAGAACACUCGCAAGGUCUUCUUUGAGUACCACAAUGUGCCUAUGGACACUCUCAAGGUGAUCACAGUACUUGGUACAGUGGGGUUCUUGCAGAAGCCCAUCUGUAAUUCACAACAGAGAGGUCCUUGUGAGAGCUCUCUUUGUGUAAGUAGCACAAUUAUUGCCAAUUUGGGAGGAUUUGUUCACAUUUUUCCACUGCUGAGGUCUCUGUUGAUAUGAUACACUUCUUGAUAUCAAACAUGGAGGAAGUUCAGGCUUCUGUACAAUGGCCUCACAUACAUAUUUUUUUUGCCUGUAAGUCAGUUGUACAUAAAAGGAUACUCAGAUGAAUUUGUUUAUACCUUCUCAAUGGUAUUGUG